AAGUUUGGCUAAACCCUAAUCGUA
rnacentral:siRNA from 1 species